AGUGAACGCUGGCGGUAGGCCUAACACAUGCGAGUCGAACGGCAGCACAGUAAGAGCUUGCUCUUACGAGUGGCGAGUGGCGGACGGGUGAGGAAUACAUCGGAAUCUACUUUUUCGUGGGGGAUAACGUAGGGAAACUUACGCUAAUACCGCAUACGACCUACGGGUGAAAGCAGGGGAUCUUCGGACCUUGCGCGAUUGAAUGAGCCGAUGUCGGAUUAGCUAGUUGGCGGGGUAAAGGCCCACCAAGGCGACGAUCCGUAGCUGGUCUGAGAGGAUGAUCAGCCACACUGGAACUGAGACACGGUCCAGACUCCUACGGGAGGCAGCAGUGGGGAAUAUUGGACAAUGGGCGCAAGCCUGAUCCAGCCAUACCGCGUGGGUGAAGAAGGCCUUCGGGUUGUAAAGCCCUUUUGUUGGGAAAGAAAAGCAGCAGGUUAAUACCCCGCUGUUCUGACGGUACCCAAAGAAUAAGCACCGGCUAACUUCGUG
rnacentral:rRNA from 1 species